AACUCUAAAUUCUGCCAGAUCUUCUUUGCCAGGAGAGGCAGUUGUUCCUCGUCUGAUGCUGAACACUUCCUCUCUGCAGAACCAGAAGCAAAUUACUUCAAAUAAUUUCCUUAUAAGACAUUGCCGAUCCUGCUGUGACCUUCCUCCAUCCCUCUUGUUGCCUCUGGACAUAUAAUCCAACUCAAGUCCCAACAGGUCUACAAGGGUGAGGCACAAACUGUGACCCAUGAGGAGGUGUGCUACACCCCAAAAUCCCAGGGAAGAUUGGUGGAUCAAAAGGUGCAUGCAUCAUUUCCAGAACAACCUUUGAGCCUGUUGCUUAUUGGUGUAAUUGAAAAAUAUGGAGAAUGUUUAAGUUUUACAAAAUUAUUAUGGUUAAAAGACAUUACCAUUAACCUCCUCAAGAUGCCCUCACUUCAAACACACCUAUUUCAUCAUUCUUACCACUUCCUGAAGCAGUUCUGUAAGUCCUCUUUCCCAAGUGUCUAUAUUUUUGCUGUCAUGGCUGCCUCAGCGUCCUGAAUGGACUCAAAACAUUUAUCUUUCACAGUCAUUUUGACCUUGAGGAAGAGCCAGAAUUUGCAAUGCCAGACCCAACAAAUAAGGUGGAUGAAGACACAUCCUACUAUGUUUAUUUGAUGGAAAUUGCAUUAAAUAUUUUGAACUGAUUCCGGAACUGCUUCAGAAAGUGGCAAGAACAGUGGGAUAAGUGUGUUGGAAGCAAGGGAGAGUAUUUUGACAGGAAUUAAUGGUAAGUUUUCUUUCACUGUAGUAAUUUUUUAAAUUUUUAUUUAAGCAUGCACUAUAUUUUUAUCAGUCUUCAUUGAUGUAUUGUUUUGUUCUGUUUGAUAUGGAGGAUAGACCUCAGGACCUUGUUCUUGUGUGGGCCACUGAGCUAAAUCCCCAGCCCUCAUCGAUAAAUUUCUGUGUUGUUGAAUAUUUAUUUUACUAAGUAUUUUAUUAAAAAUUAGUAUCAAAACUUUUUCAGCAUUCAUUGGGAAGGAUUAUGUGAAUUUUCCUUAACUCUUGUGACUAUGAUAAAUUAUAUUAAUGAGUUUCCUAAUAUUAAAUCAUCCUCA
rnacentral:lncRNA from 1 species